rnacentral:rRNA from 1 species
GAUGAACGCUGGCGGCGUGCCUAACACAUGCAAGUCGAGCGAGGGUUUGCUCAGUAUUGAGUAUUCUAAGACUAGAAUGUUCAAUUCUGAGCAAAACCAAGCGGCGGACGGGUGAGUAACGCGUGGGUAACCUGCCCUAUACACAUGGAUAACAUACUGAAAAGUUUACUAAUACAUGAUAAUAUAUAUUUGUGGCAUCGCAGAUAUAUCAAAGUGUUAGCGGUAUAGGAUGGACCCGCGUCUGAUUAGCUAGUUGGUGAGAUAACUGCCCACCAAGGCGACGAUCAGUAGCCGACCUGAGAGGGUGAUCGGCCACAUUGGAACUGAGACACGGUCCAAACUCCUACGGGAGGCAGCAGUGGGGAAUAUUGCACAAUGGGCGAAAGCCUGAUGCAGCAACGCCGCGUGAACGAUGAAGGUCUUCGGAUCGUAAAGUUCUGUUGCAGGGGAAGAUAAUGACGGUACCCUGUGAGGAAGCCCCGGCUAACUACGUGCCAGCAGCCGCGGUAAUACGUAGGGGGCUAGCGUUAUCCGGAUUUACUGGGCGUAAAGGGUGCGUAGGUGGUCCUUCAAGUCGGUGGUUAAAGGCUACGGCUCAACCGUAGUAAGCCGCCGAAACUGGAGGACUUGAGUGCAGGAGAGGAAAGUGGAAUUCCCAGUGUAGCGGUGAAAUGCGUAUAUAUUGGGAGGAACACCAGUAGCGAAGGCGGCUUUCUGGACUGCAACUGACACUGAGGCACGAAAGCGUGGGUAGCAAACAUG